GCACGUGCUGGGAGAAUUGUGGGAUGUCAUUAUGGCCGACAUGACAAGAGAAUUGGUAUAUCAGCUGGUUGGAAAUAUUGGUAGUAUAGGGGUGCAUUCUGUUAGACCAUAUGAUCCAGAGGUAGAGAUAAAUGUCAUAGUAGUUUUCAGGCUUUACAUCAUAUAGUGUUGGACAUUUAUAUAAAUUAUGCCAAACGUUUUCAAAAUUUAUAUGAGGAAAUGAGUCAUGGGAUGGUUUACCUACACCAACAUGGAGGUUUUCGGUUUUAUCUUGAUUUAGUUGAGAGCCAGAUAUUGAGCCAAAAUUUUUGAAUUGUUCAAGGAGUUUACUGUAUGAAGAUAGACUAGAUAUUGUUGCAGAGCAAUCGUCGGCAUGUUGGAAAAGCUUAAUCUCUGAUGGAAUUGGUAUAUAAGCUCUUGUGAAAUAUUGGUGGAUAGAGGGUGUGUUCGGUUAGACCAUAUGAUCGACAGCUACAAGGCUUAUCGAUAGACACCUCUUAUGAUUUAAGCGGUAUCAAAUGGGCAAUGACCGUCCUCGGUGGUUAUCUCCUAAGAGGUACCAGUCAUGUGAGCAUAGAUGACUGACAAGUGGUAUAUCCCACACCAUGGUGUGUAUCAUUCAAGAAGACCAGAGAGGUUGCGAGUUGUUUCGAUUGGCUAGUCAUGUAUGAUGGUAUA